GACGAACGCUGGCGGCGUGCUUAACACAUGCAAGUCGAGCGGUAAGGCCUUUCGGGUACACGAGCGGCGAACGGGUGAGUUACACGGGGGUGAAUUGCCCUGCACUUUGGGAUAAGCCUGGGAAACUGGGUCUAAUACCGGAUAUGACCUCCUAUCGCAUGGUGGGUGGUGGAAAGAUUUUUCGGUGCAGGAUGGGCCCGCGGCCUAUCAGCUUGUUGGUGGGGUAAUGGCCUACCAAGGCGACGACGGGUAGCCGACCUGAGAGGGUGACCGGCCACACUGGGACUGAGACACGGCCCAGACUCCUACGGGAGGCAGCAGUGGGGAAUAUUGCACAAUGGGCGAAAGCCUGAUGCAGCGACGCCGCGUGAGGGAUGACGGCCUUCGGGUUGUAAACCUCUUUCAGCAGGGACGAAGCGCAAGUGACGGUACCUGCAGAAGAAGCGCCGGCUAACUACGUG
rnacentral:rRNA from 1 species